UACGUAGGGAGCAAGCGUUGUCCGGAAUCAUUGGGCGUAAAGCGCGCGUAGGUGGCCCCAUAAGUCCGCUGUGAAAGUCAAAGGCUCAACCUUUGAAAGCCGGUGGAUACUGUGGGACUAGAGUACGGAAGAGGCGAGUGGAAUUCCUGGUGUAGCGGUGGAAUGCGCAGAUAUCAGGAGGAACACCAAUAGCGAAGGCAGCUCGCUGGGACGUUACUGACACUGAUGCACGAAAGCUAGGGGAGCAAACAGG
rnacentral:rRNA from 1 species